UGGUGGAGUGAUUUGUCUGGUUAAUUCCGUUAACGAACGAGACCUCGACCUAUUAACUAGUUGACUGAACCCUUGUGGUUUCGUACGCUUCUUAAAGGGACUAUCGGUUCUUAGCCGAUGGAAGCUCGAGGCAAUAACA
rnacentral:rRNA from 1 species